rnacentral:rRNA from 1 species
GAUGAACGCUGGCGGCGUGCCUAAUACAUGCAAGUCGAGCGAACAGAUGAGGAGCUUGCUCCUCUGACGUUAGCGGCGGACGGGUGAGUAACACGUGGAUAACCUACCUAUAAGACUGGGAUAACUUCGGGAAACCGGAGCUAAUACCGGAUAAUAUAUUGAACCGCAUGGUUCAAUAGUGAAAGACGGUUUUGCUGUCACUUAUAGAUGGAUCCGCGCCGCAUUAGCUAGUUGGUAAGGUAACGGCUUACCAAGGCAACGAUGCGUAGCCGACCUGAGAGGGUGAUCGGCCACACUGGAACUGAGACACGGUCCAGACGCCUACGGGAGGCAGCAGUAGGGAAUCUUCCGCAAAGGGCGAAAGCCUGACGGAGCAACGCCGCGUGAGUGAUGAAGGUCUUCGGAUCGUAAAACUCUGUUAUUAGGGAAGAACAAAUGUGUAAGUAACUAUGCACGUCUUGACGGUACCUAAUCAGAAAGCCACGGCUAACUACGUG